rnacentral:rRNA from 1 species
CCUACGGGUGGCAGCAGUGGGGAAUAUUGCGCAAUGGGCGAAAGCCUGACGCAGCGACGCCGCGUGAGGGAUGAAGGUCUUCGGAGCGUAAACCUCUGUCAGCAGGGAAGCACGGUCACUGUGCUAAUCAGCAGUGAAUUGACGCUACCUGCAAAGGAAGCACCGGCUAACUCCGUGCCAGCAGCCGCGGUAAUACGGAGGGUGCGAGCGUUGAUCGGAAUUAAUGGGGGUAAAGGGGUCGGUGGGGGGAUGUCAAGUCAAGGGGGAAAUCCCCGGGCUCAACGUGGGACCUGCCGUUGAAACUGGCGAUCUGGAGUGUGUGAGAGGAAAGUGGAAUGCGAGGUGUAGGAGUGAAAUGCGUAGAUAUCUGGAGGAACAUCGGUGGCGAAGGCAACAAACCGGCACAUAACUGACGCUGAAGAGCGAAAGCGUGGGUAGCGAACAGGAUUAGAUACCCGAGUAGUC